ACGGGUGAGUAAUGUCUGGGAAACUGCCUGAUGGAGGGGGAUAACUACUGGAAACGGUAGCUAAUACCGCAUAACGUCGCAAGACCAAAGAGGGGGACCUUCGGGCCUCUUGCCAUCAGAUGUGCCCAGAUGGGAUUAGCUAGUAGGUGGGGUAACGGCUCACCUAGGCGACGAUCCCUAGCUGGUCUGAGAGGAUGACCAGCCACACUAGAACUGAGACACGGUCCAGACUCCUACGGGAGGCAGCAUG
rnacentral:rRNA from 1 species